CAAAACCCUAAUUGUUUGGUUGGCCUUUCCGUCAUCGAGAAUCUCGUUACCUUCCAUGUCUAUUCAUUCAGCUCCUUCAUCUUCAUCAGCUCCUAUCAUGUCUAAUUGCCCUCGGUCUAGAGCAGGGUAUUCGAAUCUCAAAAAGCCCUCUCUAUCACUCGAUUGGAGUUAUUUGUGGGUGCUGUUGUUAGGAAUCGACUCGUUUUGGGGUGCAGAUUCCUUAUGAUGGCACUUAUCAAUGUUGUUCAGAUGAAACUGGGUACUUUGAGCUACGAUAGCUCUUAGACAUUUGUGGCAGUGGUUCCACUCUUGAUCUUGAAUCUGUUUGAUCUUGUGAUUUACAUCUUCCUUGCUUUUACACCUUUAUCAAUUAGACAUUCAGUGUUUCCCUGAAUAUACGAAGAUUCUAGAUUUCCAAAUAAUAAUAACAAUACUUCUCUACAUUGCAAAUUUUCGUAGAUCAAACUUUGCUUCAGAGCUUGAAGUUGCAGUCGCCAUGACAACAAAAAGCCCAAACUUUUGAGUGUGGAGUAGAUAACUUCAUUUGAUGUUUAUUGGUUUGAUCAUUUUCUAUAAAUAUUCAAUGUUCACUGCUUUGAUUGUUUUAGGUAAAUUUUCGCACUACUAUAUUUCUAAAUUGUUAUGUGGAUGCUAUUACUUGGUGUGAUUCAUUUUCCAGAAUGUAGUGCCAAUAUUGUGUACAAAUCUGGAAGGAAACUUGACAAAAGUAAGGUGAAUUUUAUGGAGGAGGAGCUUCUUAAGCCUAUGGACUACCAGUAUCACAUUUGUAAUAUGUUUGUUAUUGCUCAUAUUGAUCAUGGUAAGAUGUUUAUCUUUAAAUUGUAUUCGUUUAUGAGUUGGCUUCUUGAUUGAUUUUUGUUAUGUUCAUCAUGUAUAUUAUGUCCAUCAUGAUUUUUGUUAUUGAAAAGAAUUGAUUUCUUUCAGCUUGAAGUAAUUCUUACUUAAUUUAGUUUACUAAGUUUGCUUAAUUUAGUUCUAUGUGUUUACAAGUGUUAAUGUUAAGUUUCAUUACUUUUGAGAGAUGUUGGGAUUGUUUUAAUCUUGAGUUGGAGAUUUUGAAACUUGUAAAAGGAGUAUUUAGUGGGCAUUCAUUUAGUUUGCAUUUUGUGUACCACUUCAUCUCUCAGUUUUUAUGUACGAACAAUUUGGUCAAUUUUAUAUAAUCCGUAUGAUAAUUACACGAGUUUUCUUCUAAUUUCUUUGUUACAGCCUCUUUGAUAAGGUUUUUAAUUAAAUUUAGUUUUUUAUUCAAUAUUCACUCUCUAGUUGAAAGAAUAUUUUUUUUUUAUUUGCAAUUUUUUAUUCAAUAUCCAGUCGGUGAUGUCUU